AAAUUAUUGAAUAAGUUCAACAAAAUAAGAGGGGGGGGACUGGUUAGUUAUCAUUGGUUAAAAUUGCAUCACAUUAAUAAUACAUCAAAUUGACCACCAAGGAACUAGAUGCCUAAUUUUAAUUUCCAACCUCUUGGUUUUGCUUUUCUCAUUGUUUUACGUGUAUUAAAAGGACACUCUAGGCAACACGACUGCUAACACUUGCUAUUGAUCAAUGUCUGUUCCAUCCAAUGUGGACAUCAUUGGUUGGCUGAGAGUGCUGGGCUAGUUUGCGAAGUGCUCUCAGCCAAUCAGUGUCAUCCAGGUUGGACAGCUUGAUAAUGUGGCUGAGAUAGAGGUGGUUAUUCCUGAUUGAAUCUCGAUACACUAGUCUGUUAAUAAGGAUUGUGGAAUGUGCAGAUGUUUUUUACAGGGGUUUCUGUAUGUUCUGAUCCGUCACAGAAGGAGAUCAUUUUAAUAUUAAACUGUGAAACCAUAUUUAGAUAUUUUUAAAAGUAUUUCUACCAUGUGAUCCAAGCAAUUCCCAUUUUAUGUUCCAUUGUAUAAACCUUAUCCAAAGUGUUUAUCUUUUGUUAUCUUUGCUUGUAAUAUAAAAGUAUUUUUUGUAAAAAUCUGGGUUAAUGGUGAACUUUUUUUAGUUUUACAGAAAUAACUUAUGGAAGUUACAUUUGGUAUCCAAGCAGAAAUAGGGUUUAGUUCCAAGAACAUCAAUGACCGCAUUAACGGAUAUAUUGGAG